UGGGAUGUAGCUCAGUGGUAGAGUGCAUGUUUUGUAUGUAUGAGGUCCUGGGUUCAAUCCCUGAUAUCUCUA
rnacentral:tRNA from 1 species